GGCAUCCAGGUGCUUCCCACAGGCUGUGUUCUUAAACUGACUGUAUAGAAAUAGGCUGCAGAGUAAACCUACCCCAUAUACACCUCAGCCCAGGCCUGUUCCUGGUCUGGAUUGUGAAUGGGGGACAUAG
ensembl:snoRNA